AAAAGUACAUAAUGUUACCAGUGAAUCAUCCAUAAUUCUUUGAUCCAGUCCUGGCAAGUCAGUCAAUUUCAAUGGUGGAGCUGAACAUUAUACCAUAAAAAUAUUAGUUAUAAAAUAUACAUAUACAAACUAGUGCAUAUAUGCAUUCUGUGCAUUUAUGUUUAUAACACAUCCAAAUCAUGUUUACUUUUGGUAAUUUUUUAGUCAAGAAACAAAUCAAAAUCCUCCAUGCCCCAUUUUAAAAUUUAGUAAACUUCAUUUGUCAUACCAUACAUGUCAUGUUUGGAACUCAAACGAGUGUUUUAGUUGAAUUCCACGAUAUCAAUUCUAUAGAAUUAAACAUAAAAAAAUGAUGAAGUUUCACAAAUGAAUUCCUCACUAUGAAAGCUACAAUUAAUUGGACUAAACUACCCUCAAAGGAACUCACAUGUUAUUUUCCAUCCCAAGCCUAGCUGCUCUCCUUAGUCUCUCUCCCUCCACCCUAUUGGCUUCCUUUUUUUAUAUGCUUAAUUGAAUUGUAGAUUAACAUGUAUUUGCAGACAAAACAUGAGAAUUCAUCAUUUUAAAAUUAAUUGAUUCUUUAUUCAUUUGCUUCCAAAUGUUAUAUAAUUG
rnacentral:misc_RNA from 1 species